ensembl:piRNA 21ur-6624 ncRNA
UCUUGAUUGGUUUCGGAUUCU